UACUAAAGACUUAUUAGUAUGUAUAUUCGUCUAAUAGUUGAUUUUCGUUAAUAUUAAAGUACGUUAGUAGAAUACAUAUCAUUUUACUUGGGUGGUAAAAGGUAAUUAAAAGAAUAACUUAGACUUUUGUUUGUAAAUUAAACAAAUAGAUAGUUGGAGAUAAACUGAUCCAUUAAUAAUGAUCAUAAGAACAAGUACUUUAGGGAUAACAGCGAAUUUUUUUUGAGAGUUCAAAUCGAAAAAAAAGUUUGCGACCUCGAUGUUGAAUUAAGGGUACCUUAAGGUGCAGCAGUUUUAAAGGUAGAUCUGUUCGAUCUUUAAUUCCUUACAUGAUUUGAGUUCAGACCGGCGUGAGCCAGGUUGGUUUCUAUCUAGACCAAGUCUUUGCUACCGUA
rnacentral:rRNA from 1 species